rnacentral:rRNA from 1 species
UACGUAGGGACCAAGCGUUGUUCGGAUUUACUGGGCGUAAAGGGCGCGUAGGCGGCGCGGUAAGUCACUUGUGAAAUCUCUGAGCUUAACUCAGAACGGCCAAGUGAUACUGCAGUGCUAGAGUGUGGAAGGGGCAAUCGGAAUUCUUGGUGUAGCGGUGAAAUGCGUAGAUAUCAAGAGGAACACCUGAGGUGAAGACGGGUUGCUGGGACAACACUGACGCUGAGGCGCGAAAGCCAGGGGAGCGAACAGG